rnacentral:rRNA from 1 species
AACUUCUGAAUGUUGACCUCGGAUCAGGUAGGAAUACCCGCUGAACUUAAGCAUAUCAAUAAGCGGAG